UGAUUCACAAAUUGGACAGCUUCAUACUACAAGUGGUUGGGGGCUUCACUGAAGGAAAACUAAGAAAAAUCUGUUCUACGAUGAAUGCAGAAGCAAGGCAAAGAAAAUAUUUAAUGGACAAAAGACAGUAUGGUACCUUUGAGGAACAGUGGAAUAAGGAUCGAAAAAUCACUGAACUGGACCAGCUCUCUCACCCAGUGGUGAAAGGUAUUGGAUUCCCCAUAAUCAACUGUGGCUUGAGUCCUGGCCCUGGUGGCUGAACAAAACACACCAGGAGCACACAAGUCCUCUGGCAAGGAAAUUAAAAAAAAUUAAAGAAACAAAAAAACCUAUAUUGAGAAAAACUUUUAGUGGCAGAUGAUUAAAAACUUACUGAUUGAUGGAGCAGAGUGGUGGCAAAGGUGGCAGAACCCUGAUCGUCUCUCUAUAUAUACCUUGGCAUGCCCACCACAAGGUUGGCUUUUUCUUUCUCAUGCUUUUCUUUUCAAGUUUCAGGAUGACUGCAAUGCUUUAGCUUUCCUCCUUCCACUUUUAUAUUUUGCAAGAACUUUUAAAAAGUUGCCAGAAUUGCCCAGCUGCGGUGGCCAGUGGUGUCAUGCAGCUGUGCUUUGUAGUCUGGGACCAGGGAGGCCCAGGUUCGAUUUUCAUUUAACCUAAAGGCUGGGUGCAAAGCCACGUGCCUGAAAUUGAAAUAGCCCAGGAAGCUGAGAGGCAGACAGUGAAGUGCUCUAGGAUGGCUUGAGCGACCUGUGAGAGCCUGUCUUAAAAAUACAAAUAAAACGAACUAAAUACUUCUAGAAAUAAAUUUGACUUAUUUUUGUUUACACUCUUGAACCAAUCACUAUUUUCAUGAGACUGGAAAACAUUGAUUGCUUUGGGCUUUGUUUUCAUGUUUCAGUCUGGGAUUGGGGUGUUAAGUUUCACCCAAGCAUAUUGGUGGACAGAUGGAGGGAGGCUUCCAUGCACCUUAAGGGGAGAGGGUAAAUGCUGGGUGAUAAACAAUGGAUGUCCAUGAUACUUUUUUUCAGUGACUUCUUCCAAAUGCAGAUUUCCUCCUAACUCUCUGAUGGUAAUCACUAUCAUUAAUUACUUUGUGGCUAUUCAU